GCUGCCGGCGGCCGGCCGUACUCCAGGACAGCCCCUUUGUGCCGGAGCCUCUCUUCGCCGGGGUUUCCCCGGUCCCACGCGCGGCCGAGUCAGAGAGCACAAUGACAUGGGACAGUGACUUCCCAAGGCCUCCAGAAACCCCAGGUUGUCUGACCUGCCUGUACCAUAAGCUGCUGGAGGGGCACGAGCAAUGUACAGCAUGAAGGAGGUUGGAAGAACAGACACAGCCUGCUGAGCAAGGCUCAGGGCGAGAGGUAUCGCUGUGUGUUGGAGUAGUGUGACAGCAUGGUGUGUGUUCAUCCGAACAUAGCCAAACACUGCUCCACCAAAGUUCAAUCAACCUGAAGAAUGACUGCUUGAAAAACAACAACGAAAUUUCUGAUCUGCAGUUUCAGCUUCAUUUUCUCUUUCACUCUCCA